rnacentral:rRNA from 1 species
UACCCGCAGCUCAAGUGGUGGUCAUUAUUAUUGGGCGUAAAGCGUCCGUAGCUGGCUUGUUAGAUGCCUGGGUAAAUCGAUGCGCUCAACGUAUCGAAUUCCGGGUAGACCGGCAAGCUCGAGACCGGGAGAGGCGUGAGCUACUCAAGGGGUAGGGGUAAAAUCCUGUAAUCCUUUGGGGAGGACCAGUGGCGAAGGCGUCACGCUAGAACGGCUCUGACAGUGAGGGACGAAGCCCUGGGGAGCAAACCGG